UACGGGGGGUGCAAGCGUUGUUCGGAAUUACUGGGCGUAAAGGGCUCGUAGGCGGCCAACUAAGUCGGACGUGAAAUCCCUCGGCUUAACCGGGGAACUGCGUCCGAUACUGGAUGGCUUGAGUUCGGGAGAGGGAUGCGGAAUUCCAGGUGUAGCGGUGAAAUGCGUAGAGAUCGGGAGGAACACCGGCGGCGAAGGCGGCUGCCUGGACCAGUCCUGACGCUGAGGCGCGAAAGCUAGGGGAGCAAACAGG
rnacentral:rRNA from 1 species